rnacentral:misc_RNA from 1 species
UAAUAAGUGUUUUAUGGCACUUUUUAAAUCCAUAUCCACCUUGUGUGCAAUGUUCAGUCGAUCUUCUUUCAUUGGAGAUCGACCAAACAUCAACCUUUAUCUUUUAACUCUUUGUCUGAAAAAUAUUAUGAAUAAACAAUUCAAAAUA